GUGGAAGCAGCGGUGGAGGAGGAGGAUGAGGUAGCCAACACUGUUUUAUAUAUAUAUAUAUAUAUAUAUAUUUAUUUUUUUAAUUGGGGUAGCCCCAAAAAUAUUGGGACAUAAUAAAAAAGACAACUCCGUUCCGCAGAGUAGCUGUUGACAAUAUAGUUGCGCAGGCACUUUGUUGACUCUAGCGCACCUCGGGCCAAUCUCACAUCCCCGUGGCGGCGACUUUGCAUGCGGAUGUCAUCCAUAUCAACUUUUGAUCCCGGUUUCUGCGCCUACCAUGGUGACCACGGGUAACGGGGAAUCAGGGUUCCAUUCCGUACAGGGACCCUGAGAAACGACUACCACAUGCAAGGAAGGCAGCAGGCGUGCAAAUGACCCACUCCCGACGAGGGAAGGUAGUGAC